AGCUCAUCCUCUGCCCUGCAAUUUAGUUUUAAAGCAAAUUCCCCGCACUUGGGAGGCUGAGGCAUGAGGAUGGCAAGUCCGAGCCCCUGUCCCAAAAUAAAAAAUAAGAGAAUGAAUACAUAAAAAUAAAAGGGGACGGGUUGUAGCUCAGUGUGGAGGUACUGGAUUCAAUCCCAAUACCGCUAUAACAGAAGCCCAUCACGUCGCCUCCACCUCCAAGCCGCCAACCCUAGCCAGAGACUACACACCCCAGAAUGCACCACGCGCCCCGGGAACCAGGCUCUCCGAGGCCGGGUCCCGGCCUGCACUCCCAGGAUGCACUCCGAUGCCCGCCCUGCUGCCGGGGAGGGCUGCGGGUCCUGGGGUGCUGGGCUGGACUCUUGGCUCACCUCGGAGCUCCGGGAGCCCUUCAGCACCUGCUUGCUUCCACUCUUCCACCUGGUUUCGCAGCCCUUCAGCAUGAAGAACUUCCCUUGAGCACCUCUGAAGAAGCUGAGGACAAAGUUUUUUUUGUUUGCUUGUUUGCCUUGAGGCAGAGUCUCACAUGUAGUCCAGGCUGGCCUAAACUGUUACUAUAUAACCCAGGCUUCUCUCAAACUCCUGGCGAUCUUCUGUAUCGAUUUUGAUGAGAAAACACUGACAUUGAAGAUGCUGUUCUAAGCUGAGGAUUUAGCUCAGCAGUGUAAGCACCAGCCUGGCAAGUGCAAGGUCCUGAGUUCAAUUCCUGGUACCAAAAAAAAGCACUGUUCUCUGGA